rnacentral:rRNA from 1 species
AUGGAGGCUCCCCAUGGCGCACCAUCUUCUUUGGACCUGUCCCUGACACUGGCCUCCAUGACACCAGGCCCACCAUCAUCACCACCUCCAUGCUCCUCUCUUUGGGCUGCAGGAGACCACCUUGCUGCUGCCGGGGAAAACGGCCAUGGCCAUGGCCAUGGUGGCGCCUGCGAAGCGAGAUCUUCGAGGCGGCUGUUCUCAUGCCUCUUCUGCGAGAAGAAGUUUAUCAAGUCAGAGGCGCUCGGGGGUCACCAGAACGCGCACAAGAAGGAGAGGGUCGGAAGCUGGAACGCCCACCUCUACGAACAUGUCGACCACGACUACCCGCCGGCAACCGCAACGACUAGGGCGCCCAUGAGAUGGCCAAACGCGCGACUUGGCGACAACGCUGAGAAGCAGAUGCAGCAGCAGCAGCAGCUUGGUCUCAACCUUAAGCUUUAA